rnacentral:tRNA from 1 species
GGUUGUUUGGCCGAGCGGUCUAAGGCGCCUGAUUCAAGAAACUCGUUUCUUAACGCUGUAAUACAGCGGAAUCCUCAGGUAUCGUAAGAUGCAAGAGUUCGAAUCUCUUAGCAACCA